GACGAACGCUGGCGGCGUGCUUAACACAUGCAAGUCGAACGGAAAGGCCCUGCUUUUGUGGGGUGCUCGAGUGGCGAACGGGUGUGUAACACGUGAGUAUCCUGUCCCUGACUUUGGGAUAACUUCAGGAAACUGGGGCUAAUACCGGAUAGGAUCUUCUGCAGCACGGGGGGGGUAGGAAAGUUUCGGCGGUUUGGGAUGGUUUCGCGGGUUAUCCGCUUGAUGGUGGGGUAGUGGCUUACCAAGGCUACGACGGGUAGCCGGCCUGAGAGGGUUACCGGCCACAUGGGGACUGAGAUACGGACCAGACGCCUACGGGAGGCAGCAGUGGGGAAUAUUGCACAAUGGGCGGAAGCCUGAUGCGGCAACGCCGCGUGCGGGAUGACGGCCUUCGGGUUGUAAACCGCUUUCGCCUGUGACGAAGCGUGAGUGACGGUAAUGGGUAAAGAAGCACCGGCUAACUACGUG
rnacentral:rRNA from 1 species